rnacentral:snRNA from 1 species
GUUUGAUCAAAAUGAAACAACCUCUAAUCUUGUGAAAGCAGAAUAGGAGAUUAGCAUGGCCCCUACAGAAGGAUGUCUCGCAAAUUCGUGAAGCGUUCCUUAUUUAA